GAUUACUUCUGAACAACUGGGCCCUGGGGACCAACCCACCAACUGCCUGACCAACCAGCAUUGCCAUCCACAAUGCUAUGCCAUCAGCAUGGGUGGACAUUAUGGGCUGUGAUUCCGAGCUGAACUGGUCACACCAUCGGUCCAGCUGCUCCUCCUGCCUCGAGCAGCAGACGCACAUUCUCCCAGAGGUCCCAGCAGCUCAGCGGUGUCCUGAAGUUACCAGGACUGCGGGAUGUAUUGUGACAGACUUUAAAUGUGUGGAAGAGGAGCCCUCGUCACCCAUCACCUCUGUGAGAUGAAAGGCCCCGAAAGCAGCCAGCCACCCUGCUGGACACAGCUCAGCUGUUAUAAGAAGUGUUUGACAGGAGUGGCAGAUACAAACAACUUAAAGGGAAUAUUUGCAGCCGCGGAAGAGCUCUGUGUUUCUGGCUGUAAAGCAAGCUGGUGAUGGCGAAUCAGAAACAAAUAGACUACAAAUGAUGCAUUUCCUGUCCCCUCUCACUCAGAGGAAGGACUCUCAUCACAUUGCAUUUCUUUCUAACACUCUCCUGAACCAGCGAGGAACCAGCACGACCCCCCCUGACCAUCUUACUCCCCC